rnacentral:rRNA from 1 species
UAGGGAAUCUUCCACAAUGGGCGGAAGCCUGAUGGGCAACGCCGCGUGUGUGAUGAAGGGUUUCGGCUCGUAAAACACUGUUGUAAGAGAAGAAUGACAUUGAGAGUAACUGUUCAAUGUGUGACGGUAUCUUACCAGAAAGGAACGGCUAAAUACGUGCCCG